rnacentral:lncRNA from 1 species
CGGCAGCACAAAAGCACCCCCGACCAGCAGCACCUUUGCCGUGUCCACAGCAGAAUCCAGUUUGCAGUUUCCAGCCUUUGCAGAACGAGCCUCAUCAGACCCCCAUCAGAAACACCAGCCGCCACAUGAGGUGAGUAGCACACCCUCCUCAGAGGUCUGGGUCCCAGCUUCCUGGAGCCCCCUUUCUCUAAGCUUUGAAGUUAUAACAAUUCCCUUCUCUUUCCUUUGUGCUCACGCGCUGGGGGUGGUUGCAGGUUUUGGCUUUCUACUCUAAGAUACCUUCCAGUUUUCUUCCCCAUUUGAGUUACCUCCUUACCAACUUUAUGCCUACUUCACAUUUUAUAUACAAAAUCCUGUCUGUUCAAAUAACUAAUGGGGCAGAGCCUUCUUGCCUGCCCGCUUGCAUCUCUUACAAGCGUCCUAUCGUAAUAAAUCGAUUCCUUGCAUAAAAAAAAAACCAAAAAAGCAAACAAAAAUACCCCAAAUAACUAAUGGGACUUCUGCCUCCGACUGGUCCCUAACUGAGAGGUACCCCAACUCCCAGCAGUCGUUGGUUGAAGGCUGCCUCUAGGAAGGUUCAUUACCCAUCAUUUUCCAGCAGCUACAGGGGUGGCAAAGCUGACUCCAGUAGAAGGGCAGGCUCCAGUGGCAAGAGAAAACCCUCAGGCAAAGUACUCCAGGACCUAGCGAUUGGAAGUUGGGCCAGUGUGCACUAAAGUGAUAAGGGGGAGGGACCAAGGGCGGGGGGAGUGACAAGGUUUGCUAUACAGUUGAAUGCCCUUUAUAAAAUAUUAAUUUCUCAUUCCACGAGCAAUAAUUAUCUUUGAAAGACACUUAAGUCAAUAAGAAUAAGGCUCAAGUCCUUUCAGUCACCAUCCCCCAUCCUGAUUCCCUUCCCUUCCCAGAGGUAACCUCCGUUAGUAGUUAUCAUUUACAUGUACUUUUCUACAUAUAUAUGCUUAUAAAACAUAUGGCAUUAUUUUGUAGGUUUUUUGUUUUUGUUUCAUAGUAUACCUGUCUUUUUGCACUUUGCUCUAUUCACAAAACAAUUUGUCUUGGGAGUCAUUCCAUAUUAUGACACAUAGAUCUACCUAUUUCUUUUUAACGGCCUCAUAAUAUUCCCAAGGUGCAUAUUCCAUUGUUUAUUUCACUGUCACUCUGUGUUACAAUUAACAAAAUCCUAUGAUUAAUGGCAAUGUCUUUUGUGUCAUUGUACCUGUUUAGGAGUGUUUCUGUAGGGUAGAUACAGACUGGAAAUGCUUGGGGGGGGGGCGGUCAGAGAAAAUGCCUUUCUUUUUUUUUUUUUUUUUUAAUUUGGCUGCAUUUGCAGCACAUAGAAGUUCCUGGGCCAGGGAUCAAAUCCGAGCUGCAGCAGUGACCCGAGCUGCCACAGAGACAAAGCUUAACCUGCUGCACCACAAGGGAACUCCUGAGAAUGAAUAUUUUAAAACUGACAUUAAGUGUCAAAAAUAUGUCCUCCAAAAUGUAGUUCCAAUUUACAAGCUGUAAUGUUGUGGUUUAUAAUAAGAAGUAUAUAUUUGGUCUCCCUCCUCAUUUCUGGCAGUUCCUAAAACCCUUGGAAUUUCCUAAGUGAUAGAAGCAACAAAGGUAUCUUUGUUAUGUUAAUGAGGUGACUCCUGAACGGCACCUGGGGAUGCGGGCUGGUUGCCAGGGAAACCAACCUAGAGAUUAGAACUUUUAGUCUUACCUUCUAACCCUGGGGGAGGGGAGGCGAGGGGAGCCGGAGGUUGAAUCCAUCGCCAAUGGGCCAGUGAUUUAAUCGAUCUUAACUAAAUAAUGAAGGCUCCUUAAAAACCAAACUGAUAGGGUCUAGAGUGCUUCUGGGUUGGUGAACACGUGGUGAUCCGGGCAGAGUAUCGUGCCCGCAGAGGACACGCAAGCUCCACGCCCUUUCCCCACACAUGGCCCUAAGAAUCUCUUCCAUCCGGCUAUUCCUCGGUCAUAUCCUUUUAUAAUAAACAGGUAAUCUACUAAGUCAAAUGCUUCUCUUAGUUCUUCUCUGAGUUCUGUGAGCCACUCUAGCAAAUUAAGUGAACCCAAGGAGGGAGUCGUUGUGCUUGGAACUAGCGUCUGAAGUUGGAGGGUGGGGGUAGGGGCAGUCUUAGAGGACUGAACCUUUAACCUGUGGAAUCUGAUGCUGUCUCCUGUAGUGUCAGAAUUUAGCUGAAUUCUUGGACACUGGUGUGGUGUCCAAGAAUUGCUUGGUGUUGUGUGGGAAGCAACCCCCCCAAAAAAAACCCACCAAAAAAUGAAAAACCACACACACACGCUAAUUGGAUCCUGGAACCCAGGAGUUGGUGUCAGUGAACUGGGGUUUGCCAGAACCAUCCUGUCUCCUAGAAACUUACGAUUUGGGAAGAGAAAGGGUGAAAGGGGGUGAGGGUGGGGGAGUACUUAUAACCUUAUUGCUACAAAACCCUAAACUUGUUUAAAAAGCCUUAGCGAAUUUGCUCUUCUGCUUCCCCGCUAAGGGUCUUACAGAUGCUAAUACAAAACAUUAGGUUAAUUAACAAGAGAAUCAGAAGAAGCUGAGAGGAGACUCAACGCUGCUUCCUUACCAGGAGGAAAUUUUUAGACCUUUUCUUUUUUUCUUUCUUUUUUUUUUUUUUGGCUUUUUGGGGCUACCCCUAUGGCAUAUGGAGGUUCCCAGGCCAGGGGUCGAAUUGGAGCUGUAAUUGCUGGCCUACAACCUACACCACAGCUCACGGCAACGCUGGAUUCUUAACCCACUGAGCGAGCGAGGCCAGGGAUCGAACCUGCGUCCUCAUGUAUGCUAGUCAGAUUCGUUGACUGCUGAGCCUCGACGGGAACUCCUAGACUAUUUUUAUUUUUUAUUUUUUUGGCUGUGCCCGCAGUAUGUGCAACUUCCCAGGCCAGGGAUUGAACCUGAGCCACAGUGACAAUGCUGGAUCCUUAACCCAACGGCGCCACCGGAGAACUAAACUAUUUUUAAGAGAUGAGGUGAAUAAAGUGAAUAUUGACAGGGCGAAACAAAGAGGAAUCAGAAAGGAGAGUCUAAGGGCUUCCAGGAGGGUGGAAAUCUUUAGAUGGUUAUUUAGAAACGGGAUGAAUAAAAUGGACAUGAUGGGAUUAGAACAAAGGUUUAAUACAGCGCUACCUGAGAUUGGGUGAGUCAAAGGAUCCCUUAUCAGCUCCCAAUAUCAGAGGGCCCCAAACAAGUCCAUUCUAUUUUCCCUGAGUCCUGAGACGUUUGAAAAGCUAUCCACCAAAAACUGCAAUGAGAAACCUGACCAGGAAUUGCUUGGGAGCAGUGGUCCCUAGACCCCUCGCUGGGGACCCAAAGCCUUUUACACAAGAGUGAGUAAAACGGUCAGGGGGUGAAGAAGUUUCCUUUACUCUUUGAUAUAAGAAUCUCAUGAACCCACUGGGGAAGCCUUUUCUUGGGGCUAGACCGAGAGACAGUAAAUAUGUAAUGGCCGAGAGAAUGCUGCAAGUUGAAAUGUCUAAGCAGAUAAUCACGUAAAGAAGUCGUGUCAGCUUUUCCUGACUGUUUCAUGGGAAUGGCUAUUGUGUCUGGGGGGGGAACCCGUCCCCUUCCUGGUGUCAGAAAACCAAAACUGGACGAAGUCCUGACGGAGGCGACAGUUGGGAGCGCAGUGGGGGGUGGAAUUAAGACAGAGGUUUGUCGCAGACUCGGUGUUGGAACAGGCUUUACGGGAAGUGGUCUCUUUUACCCGAUUGGAAGCUUGUCCCGGCUCCUACUGUAAAAACAAACGCUUGGGACGCUCCCCCUCCAGCAAUGUUAAUGGGACUUGCUAACUGGGACCCAGUAAGACGGCCUGAGCCCACGCAGCGUGGAGUAGAGGCCGGAGUGCCAGGAAGGACAGGGUCUCUGCCGUAGCCCUUCCUGGAAUGUAGCCUGGGGCUCAUGGCAAGAGUUUGUGGGCGAGCCCAGCAACAACUGGGACUUUGAGGGAGUUCCCGCUGUGGUGCCGUGGCCUAAGAAUCUGACUGCAGGGAGUUCCCAUGGUGGCUCAGCAGUAAUGAACCCGACUAGAAUCCUUGGGGAUUCGGGUUCAAUCCCUGGCCUCGCUCAGUGGGUUAAGGAUCUGGUAUGGCCAUGAGCUGUGGUGUAGGUCGCAGACAUGGCUCGGAUCCUGCGUUGCUGUGGCUGUGGCGUAGGCUGGCAGCCGUAGCUCCUGUUUGACUCCUAGUCUGGAAACUUCCAUAUGCCUAAAAAUAAAACACCCCAAAAAAAAAGAAUCCGACUAUAGAGGCUCAAGUUGUUGUGGAGGCACAGGUUCAGUCCCUGGCCCAGUCCAGCGAGUUAAAAGAUUCGGUGUUGCUGCAGCUGCAGCUGGGAUUCAGUCCCUGGCCCUGGAACUGCCGUAUGCCUCGGGCUCGGCGGUAAAAGAAGCUCCCCCCAACCCCACCCCCAGAAAACUGGGACUUUGAACUAGAGGAUUCCCAUUUGAGAGCUAUUUACUCCCUUGUUAUGGAGCAUCAUUAAUUGAAGCCAUCCCUGUGACGGAAGGACAUAAAGUGAUCUUAAAUCGGAAACAGUUAAAAUGCCUAGGACGAUGUGGGCGAAAUGCCCUACCGGGGAUGGCAGUGCCCAGAAGACUUCCAGAACGAUGUGGAAACGGGUUAUCCGGGAUCUCACUGUCGGGAGGAUGCAAGGAGAGCAUCCUCAGGCGCAGGGAGCCUCUUUCCCUCUAGAACUGACUCCGGGGCUGUGUGAGGAGCUGCUGGCUCCCGUCAUCACCGGGACGGUGCCCUGUGAACAGCUGAGCCACAAGAGCUGCUUGGUUCGGGGAGGGCAGCUCCACAGUAAACGGACGCCGUCCUGUUGGGGAGGCCGCUCUGGUCCAAGGGAAAAACAAAAUGCAAUUCGAGGGCCUGAAUUGUAUGCUGUCCUCUCGGCAGCGAUGGAAGAGUUGAACAGUGGUGAAGCCCCUCUGUUUGGUUUUUACUGGCUCAGGGGCAGCGGCCAAUGGCCUGGCCAGUAUGUUCAGGCAGAGGCAAUGGAAACCGGGCCUAUGAAAGGGGUGCCCGUGUAGGAAUCACUGUGGGAAUUUGAGGGGUGCAUCAAGGCAGGCAGGACAUGCCAAUGCCUGUCAGAAGGACCCCGCUUCCGGGUUUCGAAGGUGACUUCGAUCAACAAGCAGAUCUUGGGAGUGCCUGUGGGGCUCAGGCGUUAAGAAUCCGACUGGUAUGCAUGAGGAUGUGGGUUCGAUCCCUGGCCUCGCUCAGUGGGUUAAAGGAUCCGGCAUUGGUGCGAGCUGUGGUGUAGGUCGCAGACAUGGCUCGGAUCUGGUGUGGCUGUGGUGUAGGCCAGCAGCCACAGCUCUGAUUGGACCCCUAGCCUGGGAACUUCCUAGGGUGCAGCCCUACAAAG